AAAUAGUUAUGCCGGAUACAGGUGGUGCAUGGUUGUCGUCAGCUCGUGUCGUGAGAUGUUGGGUUAAGUCCCGCAACGAGCGCAACCCUUGUCUUCAGUUACCAUCAUUCAGUUGGGGACUCUGGAGAGACUGCCGGUGACAAACCGGAGGAAGGUGGGGAUGACGUCAAAUCAUCAUGCCCCUUAUGACCUGGGCUACACACGUACUACAAUGGCGUAUACAACGGGAAGCGAAAUGGUGACAUGGAGCAAAUCUCACAAAGUACGUCUCAGUUCGGAUUGAAGUCUGCAACUCGACUUCAUGAAGUCGGAAUCGCUAGUAAUCGCGGAUCAGCAUGCCGCGGUGAAUACGUUCUCGGGCCUU
rnacentral:rRNA from 1 species